rnacentral:rRNA from 1 species
UACGUAGGAGGCAAGCGUUGUCCGGAGUUACUGGGCGUAAAGCGCACGCAGGCGGUCGUUUAAGUCUGGGGUGACAGUUCCCGGCCUAACCGGGAAAGUGCUCUGGAAACUGGAUGACUUGAGGGCUUCAGAGGGAUGUGGAAUUCCAGGUGGAGUGGUGAAAUGCGUAGAGAUCUGGAAGAACACCAAAGGCGAAGGCAGCAUCCUGGGAAGUACCUGACGCUCGGGUGCGAAAGCUAGGGGAGCGAACGGG